AUUGAACGCUGGCGGCAUGCCUUACACAUGCAAGUCGAACGGUAACAGGCUAAGCUGACGAGUGGCGAACGGGUGAGUAAUGUAUCGGAACGUGCCCAGUCGUGGGGGAUAACGUAGCGAAAGCUACGCUAAUACCGCAUACGAUCUACGGAUGAAAGCGGGGGAUCGCAAGACCUCGCGCGGUUGGAGCGGCCGAUAUCAGAUUAGGUUGUUGGUGAGGUAAAAGCUCACCAAGCCUGCGAUCUGUAGCUGGUCUGAGAGGACGACCAGCCACACUGGAACUGAGACACGGUCCAGACUCCUACGGGAGGCAGCAGUGGGGAAUUUUGGACAAUGGACGCAAGUCUGAUCCAGCAAUGCCGCGUGCAGGACGAAGGCCUUCGGGUUGUAAACUGCUUUUGUACGGAACGAAACGGUGAGCUCUAAUACAGUUUGCUAAUGACGGUACCGUAAGAAUAAGCACCGGCUAACUACGUGCCAGCCGCCGCCGUAA
rnacentral:rRNA from 1 species